AUCAACUGCAGCGCAGGAAGCGUUGCAAAGGUCACGGAUGAUCACCAUUGCCGGGAUGGCUACUGACAGGAUGUCGGGAUGGUAUNCGGCGGGUUU
rnacentral:sRNA from 1 species